AGUGAACGCUGGCGGUAGGCCUAACACAUGCAAGUCGAACGGCAGCACAGUAAGAGCUUGCUCUUACGGGUGGCGAGUGGCGGACGGGUGAGGAAUACAUCGGAAUCUACUUUUUCGUGGGGGAUAACGUAGGGAAACUUACGCUAAUACCGCAUACGACCUACGGGUGAAAGCAGGGGAUCUUCGGACCUUGCGCGAUUGAAUGAGCCGAUGUCGGAUUAGCUAGUUGGCGGGGUAAAGGCCCACCAAGGCGACGAUCCGUAGCUGGUCUGAGAGGAUGAUCAGCCACACUGGAACUGAGACACGGUCCGGACUCCUACGGGAGGCAGCAGUGGGGAAUAUUGGACAAUGGGCGCAAGCCUGAUCCGGCCAUACCGCGUGGGUGAAGAAGGCCUUCGGGUUGUAAAGCCCUUUUGUUGGGAAAGAAAAGCAGCAGGUUAAUACCCCGCUGUUCUGACGGUACCCAAAGAAUAAGCACCGGCUAACUUCGUG
rnacentral:rRNA from 1 species